rnacentral:rRNA from 1 species
GAUGAACGCUGGCGGCGUGCCUAAUACAUGCAAGUCGAGCGAACAGACGAUGCUCUUGCUCCUCUGUCGUUAGCGGCGGACGGGUGAGUAACACGUGGAUAACCUACCUAUAAGACGGGUAUCACCUCGGGAAACCGGAUCUAAUCCCGUAUAAUAUACUGACCCGCAGGGGUGGAUAGUGAGAUACGGCUGUGCUGUAAGGUAUAGCUGGAUCCGCGCCGCAUUAGCUGGUUGGUACGGUAACGGGCUACCACGGCAACGAUGCGUUGCCGAGCUGAGAGGGGGGUAGCCCGCAUUGGAACGUGGCCAGCGUCCAGGGUCCUACGGGAGGCAGCAGUAGGGAACGUUACGCAGAGGGCGAAAGCCUGGCGGAGCGACGCCGCGUGUGUGAUGGAGGUCUUCCGAUCGUAAAGCUCUGUUAUUAGUGAAGAACAAAUGUGUAAUUUACUAUGCCCGUCUUGACGGUACCUAAUCAGAAAGCCACGGCUAACUACGUG